UGUAACGUAAAGCAAAUAAUGCAAUCUGUAUUUCUACUCAUAAAUUCAAGUGUACUUUAUCUUUACUUUACUUUACCUUUUUGUAAUAGCGAUAACGAAUUGUUACUCUAAAUGCAUUUUCCAUUUAAACGCAAUACGACGUCGUAGUACUUGCGAGCGUACUGGUCUUUAUCACUGAUGUUACUUCCGUUUCGGGUCUUCCUCAAAUAAUUGGAGAGCUCACGCGAGAUUCAUUAAACAACGAUGUAAUCGGUAGUUUAUGCCGAAGAUGAACCGAGGCUCAUCAUUAGAUAUUCCUUUCCAGACGGAUUUACUUGAUUAUUACUUGAAUGACACGCGACACACUUGGCGCCUUAUCUAAGAUCUGUGACUAUAAUCUUGGCGGAAUUGCCGAAUUUUUGCUGAAAAUUUUAAAAUAACUGAAUGUAAUUCUAACAAACCCGCGGAAUAUUUUGUUCUAAUUUUUCUCGAUUAUCCAAAUUUUUUCCAUAUAUAAAACUUACGGAUUUUACGAUUCCUAAGAUAUCACAAAAACUUAUUUUUGUGUUGCAAGAAUAAGUGCGAAAGAUUAAAAUGGAAACAAAAAAUUUUUGGAAUAAAAAGAUAAAAUUUUAUUUUAUUUAUAAGGAUUAUAUAAUUUAUGUAACAUCUGUCAAUUACGAGAUUAACAGCCGAAGCAUUCUCUCAUGAAAGCGUAAAAUUGACCGAGACAUUAGAAAUGGCAUAAUUUUCAACAAAAAAAGGAAAUGUUCGCAUAAUUAUCCGUCGCUGUAAUAUUAGAUUCUCAACGACUGAUUAUAUAAUGAUUGGAGGCAAGGGCAUAAUCGCUCGUGCAAAAAAAGACGACUAUUCAAUGCAAACUGUUAACCUUCCGGCGCUUUUUUGCAUCUCGCUGACCGAUCACAUAUCGGAUACACGACGAUGUAUUAUAAAGAUACAUUAUUUAAUUUCUCACAUAAAGACAAAACCUGAAUCGAAUGAGGAUAUAUCGAUUCUUGGUAUAAAAAUACGCAAAAAAUACUUACAUAUUUAUCAAGUAUAAUUUAAUCAUAGAUAUAUAAAUUACGGAUAUUUAAAAAUGAUACGCACGAUUUACAUGGCCGACGGUAUUUUUAAACCAAGAUUUCAACGCGGAAAUGAGGAAGUCCAUAUUUUAUAGGGUCCAUUUUACUAAAUGUCACUUGGCAUUUAAUUUCACAAUUCGCAAGUUAUGUGAGGCAUUCAUUUUAGAUGCCAUUUGACGGUGAGGCUCACAAUUUGCCAAGUUCAUUUUAAUUUUAGCACGGACUCUUUACAAAAUAUCAUCUCUUCCUUGCAUUUCGAGAAAUUUUGUUCGAUUUCUCAAAAUGUACUUCACUGUAUUCUUCCUCGAAACGGAUAUGCGACGCGUGUAUCUAUAAACGACAAAAAAUUAAAAAUCAUUUUUUUCACGAGAUAGACAUAUUUAUAAGUGUAUCAUAUCGCCGUUAGGACAACGAGAGCUAGAUCGCGCGACCGAUCGAUCGUGCGAUCGUGCGAGCGAGCGAGCGAGCGAUUGCGUAACUUACACUUGCGUUACAAAAGCCGCAAUCUCGAUAACGACCUUUGCGCGACAGUGACGACGGCCUCACACGUGCGUUCCCAAGGAAUCCGUGCAGCCUGGCGUGAAACCCACGCGUGGCACGCAUCUAGGCGUGCACAUGCACAUGACACGUAUCUGCGUACGCAGGUACGCGCGAUCGGAAAAUUAUGCGUGAACGGAGCUCACGCGGGCGCGAGUGAAAGAAGCCGAGCCGUGGUCUAGGACCGGUUAUGCCGACCGUCAAUCACGGCCGCCGUUAACCUUUCGAUUUUUCCAAGCGCUUUCCAAGCGCUCGCACGUUUGUGUGUGUUUCCCAAAUAUAUCUCGGACGUUAAAUAAAAAUAACUUUUUUUUUUCCAAGCUUACACCAUUAAACUUUGAAUUACGGGUCAUUAUCAUUAAAGUUCCAUGUGAGGAUUUAAAUUGUGUAUGUAUUAUUCAUAUCGAUUAGCUUAGCAUAUUAUUGAGGCCCUCAAUAAUGAAUCACGCUUAAGAGGACUAUUUGCGAAAUGUAAAAUAUUAAAUUAUGAAAGUUGAAUAUCGUCAAUUUACAAAAACUUAUCUGCGCCGAAUUACCUAUGAAUUAUUUAAUUUCCCUCUACGAAACGCGUUUCUUCUUUAGUUUUACUUUGACCUCUCCGUUUAUUGUAAUUCUGAAAAAAAGAAUUACUUAACCGAAAGAAGAAAGACAGUAAUCUUUUUCGCUGUUCAUUUUUCUUAUAUUCGGUUAUCUAAGGCGUUUUUACAAUACUGAUGCAAGUAUUAGAAUAGUCAUGACCAUAAUGCAAUUUGAAAUUAAAAUUAUCUUUUUUUUCUUUUAAUGCGAAUUGAAAUGCUUAGUGUCUUCCGCGACUUGAAAAUGGAAUGAUUAAUGUCAUACUUGAAAGAAAAAUGACAAGUCACUCUGUGACUUACUGAUACAACUAAUAAUAUAAGGUAGUCACAAUAGCCGUUUCAUAAUCUAAAGCUAAAGAAUAAACGAUAUGCGUCUUAAUUAAUACAGCCAGCAGCAUUUCGCAAUUUGGACUUGAGAUAGUCAAUGCUGCCACAUUAUCUAUGCGUCCUAUGCCAUUAAUAUCAUUCUGCGGGUUAGAAUUAGAAUUGGAAAAUAUAUUUAUUUGUUAUGUAAAAAAGGAGAACCUAAAAGUUUAGUUUUAAUUCGUUACAACUUGGAAAAUUACUGCCAGUAUGCUUCAACAUUUUCAUGAAGAAAAAAAAUCGUUUAAAUUUUCGAUAAAAAAAAUAUCACGUUACACGCACCGAAUGUGCUUCUUUUUAUUAAUUGGAUACUACAUCAAAUUAUCGACGUCUCACUCUGGAAAAUAAGAUGGGCUCCAUUCAAGUAUUCCCUUUUUUUUGGGGGGGGGGGAUUGAUCCUUAUCGAUUUCGAGAGUUACGCGAGGAAAACCUCAAUUUCACGUUGGUGCUGGUGCACGCGCGAAAAUGCACCUAGUCCAACCAGCGCUUAAUUAACUGGUAACCAGCUGCGGCGCCGCCGCCACCGCGAACGACUCUCUUCCCGCGAGCGAGCGAGCGAGCUUUUGCAUUCCCUCAACAUCGCUCAAGGCCGCGUCAUUCUCGCGACGUAGAACGAAUAAUGUCGAGCUCCGCCUCUCCCCUCUGCGUGCGCUAUCUGCAAUUUUAUCGGCGAGGCCCGACCACCGCGCGCGCGAAGUGAAGAGAGACACGCCGGAGUCCAGACCGAGGGCCGUCGUGGAGGAACGAGAACCGCGAGAUGAGGCCAGUCGUGCGGAUAUUUUCGCCUUCUCUCUCUCUCCGGCAGCAAUUGGUCUUGCAAGGUCUUGAUCCUAGCGAGAUCACCACUGUUUACGUGCGUAAGAGGUCACGAGGAAAGUUUCUGAUUCCGAAUCCGAAUCCGAGGAGAGAAAGCCAGCUCUCGAUCGCUUACUUGUGCGUUUACAUUUGCCAAGUAUAAAAUUGGGUUACAAGUGAUUGCGAUAUUUUUUAAAUGAGUCAAUCGGUGUGUUAAUUGUUAGGCGACAUUUAUUAAUUUAAAGCUGCUUCUUAUAUUUUCUUACCUUUUUAAUUUCAAUAUUUUUAAUCCAUCUUUAAAGUUAAAAGGAUUUCUUGUACACCCGCCAUAACAUUGCGUUAAAAGUGCAUUAAAAACUUUACUAAUGCGUCAGGUCUAUUUCUUUCGAAAACGUUCAAGUUUUACGAUCCAGUUAAGUCGGCUUUGGAUCGAAUGCCUUUUCCUUGUACACCUACAAUAUAUAGCCACAUGAUUGAGAUUACAGCGCGAGUCCGUUGGUGGCUUCUGAGCGACGGACGUCCAAAUCUGACGAUGACGAUCGAAUAUGAUCCGAAAUAAACUGGAUCUUUGACUUGGCGUCUCUGAUGGCGUUUUAGUAGGUACUAUUUUUAUAUUUUCCUGGUAUCUCAAAAAAACUUAAUAUUUCAAUUUACAUAAUAUAAAACAUCAUAAUAAAAUGAGUCACAAUCUCAAAAAAGAAAUAAACAAUUUAAAAUUCGUUUCUUUGUUUUUCUCUCUCAAUAAAUUAAAUGUUGCCUCAUACCAAUAUCACACCAAAUUUCACAAGAUUAUACAUGUUAGAAAAAAUAUUUUGAUAAUUGUAGUAAAUAAGACAACGUACAAAAUUUUAUAGUUAAAGAUAAUUGAGAUUGACAAACGUUUAUAAAAGGACUAUUCGCACAAAUUUGAGUCAAAUAAAAAUUCAUAAAAUUGCGCCGCGAGUAAUCAUUAAAAAAAAAGCCGUCUCAUAAAGUGUGUACUGUUAUCAAAAAAUGCGUCAAGAAACUGUCAUUAAAACUGGCCACGAUAAGACAAAUAUAUGCAAACCUGAUAGAUGCCGAGCUCAUUAACCUAAUGAGACCGGGAGAAAGGGAAAGGGAGGGGGAAUUCUUCUGCAGUUUACAGCAGGUGCUACCGUUCACCACCUUGCCCUAAGCAAUAAAAACAACCGGAUCGUCGGCUGAUACGAGACGAAGCGAGGUUUGAUUCACGCGCGCGUCACGUGCGCUGCGCAACCGCGCGAGCUAUAAUGAGCAGAAGGAAGAAGAUGUAGAGGAGGACGAAGGAGACGAAGAAAAGGAGAGGAGAUGCAAAAGGAGAACAGAACAGAGAACAGGUCAGACGACGAAGGUGGCGAUGGAACCGCCGUGUGUGAAACAGAGUGCGUGAAACGCUCCACCGAGGAAGAUAGCAGUGGCACGAGGGACGAGGAGGCUCGAGGAAGAGGACCAGUGACGUCACCGGCAACCUUGAGCACCGACCUCGGACAACGAGCUGCCCGUUUUAUCUAUAUGCACGUGGGAGAGCGAGAAGGCGCCUUCCUCUUCACGCGUGCGCGCAAGCGAGCGAGCGAGUGACAGGCGUGCUGAAAAUUCACCCAUUUCAAGGUCCGUUCACAACAGUCAUCUUCAAGACUCACGCUGAAUACCCAAAUUUUUGGGGGAUUAAGUGUCACCGUUGAGCGUCGAGUUGGAAUCAAAUGACUUGUAACAUUGAUUAUAAUUUUAAAUUGUUUUUAAUUAAUUAGCUCCUAAUUUUAAAUAGCUCUUAAAAAUGUAUAACCAACCGAUCCAGCCUUCUUUCUGAUGAUGUCACCUCGUAAACCUCGCGAAUAGAGAGAAAUUCUCACAUGGAGAGAAAUUUACAUAGAUCUAAUCUUUCGAUUUCGAAUUCUUUUUCAGAUUAUUAAAUUAUUAUUGUUAUUAUGUGGUAAAAGAAUCAAGGGACACACCCGUUUUGUUGUGAACGAAUCUUGUCGAAUCCCAGACGGAUAAGGCGGCUAGCUUGGCGCAUUUUUGGUAGUGCAAUAAUCGCCGAUCCCGGAUGACGUCGCUUGGGUGGCACGCCGCGAGCUUUAACCGUUAGCCUCGCUAUUCCGAAUUAAUACCCAAUCAAUCUUAUUACAGAGAGACACUCGCGAUAUUAUCGAGUUAUCCUGUCUUCGAAAAUCCUGUUCUGUCCAUUUCACGCCGAUUAUACCCUCCGAAUACAAUUAUAAUAUACGAUCCUCGAAAUAGCGUUAUUAGAAAUGACAUGAUCUCAUUAACAAAGGCCUCAACGAGUCGAUUAAUUAAAUUCGCGAAUAAUUAACGCAGACGACAAAAUAUAAAAGGAAUAUUUCCAUGGCGCGCUUGUCGCGCGAAGUCCUCAUAAGCAUAAUUUUUUUCUAUAUAAAAGAAUGAUUCCGUCUGGAUAUCUCGAGUUCGAUGAAUCGAUGAUACGCGUUUCAUUUACGGUAAAUUGGCCGGGCAAAAAUAAAGUCGGUCGCAUAACGAAUUAUAUCGAUUCCCGACGUCUGCUUUACUUCUCGCCGGCAGCGAUGGCAUUUGGGAAUGUAAUUUUGGAGUCGUAUCCCUGACGGUCUGACGUGUCAUAAAUAUAGUCCGCGUGCCAUCAAAAUUUUAACGAGUCCAUUUGUUAAGAAAUUAGGUUAUUACAAAGAAAGAUCUCUAAACCGUUUCAAGCGACCUACAAACACAUGUUUUCGACCGACCCUUUUCAGACUCAUGCGUCAUUUCUUUCCGAAUUUCACACGUCUGUCUCUUCCGGCACGUUCAUGUUCAAACAUGCAUAAUUGCAAACGGCUGACCUCAGGUUACUGUCACAAAAACCGGUGCGGGGCCGCCCCCCUCGCUUCGCAAAGGACUUUCCCCACCGCUACUACCUAAGUUUCCACUGCCCUUCUGACUUUCAUUGGCACGCGUCAAAUCACUCGACAUCUCCUUAAACCAAUAAAAUAUCGGAAGAAAAGCUACGCAAUACGGUCAGAGUGGGGACCGCGUUCGAAAAGACACGUUCGACAUUCAUUAGGUAGUCUGCCGAAUGCUUUGAGAUAGUUUAGAUGUAACUACUGUUCGACUUUUCUCUCUGCGAUUCUACACAAGUGUGAGCGCAACUUCGAUUUCCAUCGAAAGCGAUAACGCGAGUUUAUAUGUAAAAAAAAAACCAAAUCUUGAGUACAAUUAGCGAACUAAGUGUGAUUAUACAAGUGUGGAGAUUUCAUCAACUCAGCCGCUCAACGUUGAACAACGCGCAGUUCGGGCCAUUCAGACGACCAGCCGCGGACCUGCGGACGUGUCACCCUGUCGGGCUGUGUGGGGAGUCUCCGGCCAUUCACACGCUCUAUCCCAAGGAACCUCGAAAGCGUAUUUGCUACGUGUCACUCAUUUCCAAUCUAAGAACUCAAGCCACCAAAACUCAGGUCUUGGUCAUACCAAGUUCUCUCUGCUGAAAAACAAGUAAGGCUAUCGGGCGUUUGCAGAUCCGAGAUACUCAGCGUUCUAAGGCCCUCUUUUAGAACGAUUCGCCUUCAGGACCAGAUCUUGCAAACCAAAGAUAGCAACUGUCACAUAACAGUUUUACUUCUUAUGAUCCGGAGAACCGUGAAGUGUAACUCAAAGAACAUCAGAAUCGUUACAUUCUAAGGCCCUCUCUAAGACCGAUUCGCCUUUAGAAUUAAGAUUUCGCUUUUCAAACGGAGAACCAUAAAUUGUAAUUCAACGAACAUAAGAAUCAUUACCGUCUAAGGCCUUCUUUAAAGAUCGAUUCGCCUUUAGAAUUAAGCCGUCGCCUUUCAACAAAAAAAAACACUAAGCUGUAUCACACUUUUCAAUUGUAAUUGUAUCGCCAAAUUCAUUUUAUUGUCUGUUAAAUAAUUUAAAUAUAGUUUUCUCUUUUUUUAUCUCGAGGUGAUUUUGUCUUGUUUUCCUUUGUCCGCACGCCGGGACCCCUUUCUUUUUUUUUUCUUUUCUCUCUUUCUUUUCAAUUCAACGCAGCUACUUGCCGCUUUAACACCAUUAGUGCUUCUGGAUAAAUGAAGGAGAUCCAAAUCCGGGCAUAAUGACGGAAAAUGAGCCGAAAUAAACUAAAACGAUCCGCCGUCUUGACUAUUCUUAUAUUGCUUCUUAUUUCGUAAAUUAAUGCACGAAAUUUCGGAAAGUAUCAAACUUAAUAUGUCUGAAAACGGAGCAUUGAAUUUAAUUUAGAAUUUAAUUUGGUGGAGGCAAGGUUUAAACAAAUUUUCCUGCAAUAUGUUAUUUUAACCAAAUAAGUUACAAGUGCAAUUUUUACACUUUUAUUUUAUUGAAAUCUCUAACAUAUUUCCAAAAAUAUGAACGUUAUCAUAUCAUAUCUUGCUGUUAUCUUACAAAGUCACGAGAUUAAUUAAGUUCGCACCAUUUUAACGAGCGCAAUAUUAUAUUGCAUAAUUAUAAUGCAUAAUUAUGAAUAUAUGGAUUAUGCGUGAUGUUUAAUUCAUAAUUCUGCAGCUUCUCGAUUUAAGAUUGGCGUCGUUUAAUCAAGCGAAAAUUAACAAUCAAGGCGUAACCCUUGCAGUUCUAUGCGAGUAAAAUUAAAAUCACGUGACCGUAUUAUUACCUUCUUCUCCGUUAAUUUCGAUCGCGCGACGUACUCGCCGGACGAUAAAAAUCGCAAAACGCCGCGUCAUACCGAUAAAAAGAAAGAACCCAUUCUGAUAUACGUAAAAUGCGCGAAGCGUCUCGCCGACGCGCAUGCAUACUCACAUAAAACGCCUUCGCAAAAAGCGCCUAUUUACCGAGUCGCUGGUUUUUCUUUCUCUCACGGCUUCGAGUGCUGUCUGGCGCGGCCGGCGGCGGUUUUGCACGCGUCGGGAGAGAAUUCUCGCCUUCGCGAAUUCGAAGGUUGGCAUAGGUCAUGCGCCCGGACAUAAUCGCGAUUAUACGCCCGCGGCGGCGUCGGCGACGGCGGCGGCACGUGAUGUUCGGCUGACGCCUUCUCACUUUCAUCUUCCUGCACGAUUCGACUUGUCUAUCCGGCAGGAGAGCGCGAAUCGAUAUACCUCGUCAUACCUCGCCGCGACGUUUAGACGGACGGAUUAACUUGGACGAGACGAACGAAGACACGCUCGCGGUCGUGUCGACGUAAUUUUCCGAGAUCUCUCAUUACCGUACGUCCGAUGCGACAGGAUUCGCGCGGUUUUGGCCUUCUUAACUCGCCGCUGAUUCGUCUACCUGAGACCCGCCCGCUGUACGCAUCUCCUCGAAAUCUUGAAUAGCCAGAGUGCCGCUUUAUGUAAUCGAUCAAGGUCUCUGAUCAUUUUCGAUUAUCUAACGAGAUUAAUAAAUGAGUAAAUUAUCACGACUGGCAGGUGAACCUUCUGUUCCACUUCUCUGUUGGUUCUACUUAAAUUUUUGUGUGGAUAUUUUAAGAAAAUUGGUUAUUCAUAAUCUUAUCAUUUAUGAAACAUAACUUUUGUUCUAAGAGAGUGACUAAGUGAGUGAGAGAAAGAGAGAGAAAAAGCGAAAUAAAAAUUUCAUAUUACAAAUUACAAAUUAUACGAAAUUACAUUUCACAUACAGAUAGGAAUAUUAAAAGUGUUUUGCAAUCAUGGUUUAUCACUGACAAAUAUAUUAACUUUGCAUAAAUUAUAAUUAAAUAGCAUUUAAACGUUAAAAAAAAAAGAUUCGUUUAAUACAGAAUAACGCUUCACAGUAUUUGACAAAUUGCUGGAUCAAUGGCACAAAACUUUUGAUAUACCUGUAAUAGAUCCCUUUCACAAUCCGACGAAAAAUUUAAACACAUCCAUCAACUUUUGUGGAUUCAGAUGUAAAACUAAUUCGGCCGAAGCGACAGCUUGUUCGGGGGCUUUAAUUACGCGGCAUGAAUAUGCAAGAAGACGAGACUAUAAUUCGUACACAUUGUGCGAAAAUAUUGGCGCGCCGCCAGAUAAUUACGUCGAUUUAAAAAGCGAUGCAAUACGCGGCGCGAUACACGCGAAGAAAAAGUCGAUCACCGGCGAAUAUUGAUAUAAAAGGGGGAGGGGGAUAAAAAGAAACAAAAAAAAAGCGUCCUAGUUUUUAAACGAGUCGCAUACACGCGCCGGACGCGCUCGCGAGUUCUGGGCGAUGGGAUCUCCGGGGAAAUUAACGCAUCUAGAAAUCAAGGUACUCAUUUUGCGCGUGCAUAUAAUGACCUUUCUUUUUUAUCCGAGCUGCGCGCCGUACUCGCGGAAAAUAGACUCGAUAAAUAUCGCAACAAUGAUGGCGAAAAAUAUGCCAUUAAUCACGCGAAUCUAUGAAAUAUUAUAAUUGCACCUACUGAACAUAUUUCCGCGCGUUUUUCAAUAUACCUUUAAUAAAUUUGACAUAAUUAUCCGAGAUAUAUCUUUCAUUAAUCUUAACUCGAUUGAUUUAUAAUACGCACGAAACUGGCCGAUUAACAGAUCUUACUAAAAAUAUACAUGGCUUUCCACUUGUUAUUUCCACAAAUUAUAAAUUAUUUAAAAUGUUGGAAUAAAUAAAAGGAAAAGAUAAAAUUGGAACAGAUUUGGCCUAAAAUUUCUGUUAGUUUUUGAAUUGAAUUUUACUAACCAAUAAAAUAUUUAAAUAUGACGGAUUAAAGAUAUGAUUAAGAUGGAAAUACGCAAGACAACAUUCAUCUUUAGGAGCGGUCUUGGAAAUGUUAUUUUGGAGAAUAUUUCAUUUUAGAUAUUACUAAUGUUAAUAAUAUAUAUAAUGCGAUAUAUAUUAAAAUAUCACUGUAUAUCGUACGUGUAAUACAUGAAUAUUGUAAAUCACAAUUAACUUGAGAAAACGUAGAAAAACAUCACUUUUUGAUUUUUUCCUCUCUCGAUAACGAUAUUUUUUCCUCUCUAUAUAAUAGUAUUAAUAUCGCUCGUAGAUCGUUACAAUUAUAUAAUAUUAAUGCAAAAAUGUCUAUCGGAUAAAUCCUUGGUGACAUAAUAAAUUCACGGUGCAUGAAUCAAAGUCCGUGUUGAAUCAUUUCCUGAAUCUUUUCAAACCUGCGUACGCAAGCAAGCACGGUAUUCUUCCCUCUGUUGAUAAUGAUUUCCUUUGCCUCCACGUUACGAUAAUGUAAAAUGCAUCAUCGAAGAUAAGCGUUGGUGCAGUUCAAGCGAAUCAAAGUGCAAGUUUAUUCACGCAGGCUACGACCCUUACAAGUGAAGGUUCACACUACAGCACAUUACGUGAAGCUUUGUCACGGCGUUAUAAAGAACGAUAACGUCUUUUAAGAAAGUCCGGCCUUAAUCGACGGUAAUAGUGCAAUAUUAACGAAAUAUUGAGGCAAAUAUUACGCGAAAUAAUUAAUUCAUGGAGUUAAUGGUAUCUGUCGAUUUCGUUUAAUUUUAUGACGAUUUGAAAUCAUAUAUGCUAUAUAUAAAUCUUUUUUACUUCAUUAUUUAAUACUGAAGUAAUUUUUCUGGCAGUUAGCACAAUAAGAAGAGACGAUUUAUUGUUAUUUUUGCUCUCCUUCAUCUCUCUCGCGUUAAAUUUUUCUCCAUAUAUCGUUUUAAUAUUCUAACAACAUAAUUUAGAACGUACUUAAUAAGCUCGGCUCUCAUCUCGCACUUUAUUACUUUCUACUUUUAACUCGUUAUCUCGAACUCUCAAAGUUUCAGCUCUCUCUUUCUCUUUCGAUUCUCAACUCCCAACUCUCAACUCUCAUCGCGUAGAUUGGCCUUCUGCCACUAUUGACGAGUCUCGUUUGUCAUCGAAAAUAUGGGGAUGACCGUUCUGGCCGCACGAUGCGACGCGAUAAAGAAGAACGCGAAUCAUUUCGCCCGCAAUCUCCAAACUACGCGUUCCAUCGUAACAAAAAGGCAAAAUUUGCGAAGCGCAAAACGGGGAAAAGCGCACGCGCGCCUGCACGUUCACGAUUUAUGCAACAUUUAUAUCCUUUAACAAUACAUCCGCGGCGGACACGGGCAUCACAUCUUUAAAAAGAACACUGUCGCGUUCCGAGCCAGACGGAAUAUUAACAAGUCGAAGUCUCGCUGACUGGCUGGCUGGCUAGCUGGCUGGCUGACCGGCCGGCUCUUCAUUCACAUUCCGUCUUCGAGAAUUCGAGGCUAACGGGUGGGCAUUAAAGUCGCGAGAUCAAAGGAGCCAAACGGGUUUCCUGAAAAUGGGAAGACUUUGAAGCUGCACCGGGACGAGGCAAAAGCACGCCCGCCAAACCUCAAAUGGCGGCGUUAAUGAGUUUAGCAUAAGGUAACGCGAUUCGCACCAACUGCAUCGCGAUCCGUUCGAGCGCAAUAAAGAUCAAUUUUUUACGACCCGUGUUUAAUUACAAAACGUAAUUCGCUGCGCGAAGAGCGUUUUUACUAAGCAUUUUAAUUCAGAAUCCGACUCACGGAUGCAAAUGCGUUCCGAUUGAAACGCGACCUCGUGCAAAAUUGGCCUUAACUGUAGUCAUCACUCUCCACCAUCCAGAUCAUGUGAAUCAAAAAUGCUGUUAAAUCGAGGACGCGCUGCGUAUUAUCGGGCACUUUACCCGGGGACAAUUCGAAUAUCGAGUUAAUGCUUCGCAAGCGUAAAUAUGAGAAAAUGAGACGGAUUUCUUUUUUUCAUUACUCCUUUAAUAGAUAAUAAAUUUGCAAUUACACGACAGGUAUGAUGAUGUAACAUUCUCGGAAUCCAUAAAAAAUUAAUUGAAGCUCCAAUGACGUAGCUGUCCGAGGAGAUCGUUAUUUGAAGAUAUGAAGAGAAACUUUUGAAAAUUUGAAAAUCCUUAUGGAUCGGAGAUUGCUGGAAAAAUCCGACAAUUUGACAUUGAGAUUUCGGGAACCGUGGACGAAAACGGAAACGAUCUCGAACGACGUCGAGGCGAGGUCGCAGCUGCGGUCUCGAAUAGCUAAUAAGUUGUAACUCGUAUUUGCGGCUCGGCGUAUAGCAUACGUACGUAUGCGCCGAUAAGAAUCGCGAUCGCGCGCGGGAUUCGCGAUUUAUUAAAAUAUAUGCAUCGACUUCUACGCGCGGCGUACGUAAUGCCAGGCUCUCGUCGUACGCCGGGCUCUUCCGCGGCGAGAACAAAUGAUCCCGUGUCAUAUGAGAUGAAUUAAUUAUCGCUCGUUAUUAGCAUAAGACCCUCGUGCGCGCCGGCGUUUAAAUAACGAGCUCCGCCGCCGAGGCUGCUACACGCGCCUCUCCAGAAGCGAUCCAUCGAGUGUCUGUCUGAAAACGAGCGAGCGAACGAACGGAGAGACGUCCUCGAAAUUCUGCGGACGCAACGUGUACGAGCAAAGGUUGUACGAGCAUGCAAACGAAGCCGCCGCGCCGCGCGGGAAAAUUCCCAGCGAGCUUUGACGCCGCGAACGAGUCACGCGACUUUUUUCGAGAUUACCUUCCGGAUUUCUGCUUAUUAAGAUUUAGCAUUGAACCGAAUCUCCCCCCCCCCCCUCCCGCAAUGUUCACUGAAAAAUAAACCCGUCUCUCCCAAGCGACUUCUCUGCUCGAACGUAUUCGGGCCUGUUUUUCCUGUGUGGUUUUUAACGCGUGAGAAAAAUGUAUCGGGGAUAAUUAGGGGGCUUGACAACUUGCGAGAGAGGUUUUUUUUUUAUAUUCCUAAUUGUAGAGCUGGAUGAUCUCCCCGUCGAAAAAUAAUGCAGUUGUGCAGACGAGACAUUACGUUACGCGCGUUUCACCAUUAUCGCGGCAAAUUAAACCAAUGACGUAAACAAUGCGGGAUUAUACUCGCGUAACAUGCCGCGUGUUUACUCGAUUAAAACACGCGUAAUGGCGUUGCCCCCCUCGUCUAACGACUCGCGUAAACUCAUUCGUGCAUUUUCUACGUGUGCGUUCCCGCCGUACACACGCGCCGCGAUUGUACACGGGGAAUAUCAACAAAACGGAGAACCCCUGUUGCAGCCUCCAGUCGCUCGCGAUGGUGACGUCAACCUCUUCUGCGUCUGCAUCGCGCACGAGAGCGUAUCGUUGCACUUGCAGCGCGGUUGCACAUGCGCCCCCCUCCCCCCCUUCCCUAGGAUGCAGCGGGGGUGAGGAGGGGGUGGGCGCGGGUACGCGCGUCGUUCAUCGCCGAUCGUCGCAGAAAAGAAAUCCGAUCUUGAUAGGGGAAUUUGACGCGCUGGACGUGAUCCACUACACGGGCGAUUAGAAAAUGCCUCGAUGGAUCUCAGGAUAGAAUCCGUUAACGUUCGACAAAGAUUUUUAUUUUAUUUCUAUUUCUUUUGCAUUUUUAUAAAUAUACACAUGUCAGAAACAAUUUUUCAAAAAUAUAUCCUCAUAUAUUUAUGUCCACUAAUAUUAAUUUUUUUUUAAUUUAGGGUAGGAAAUUACAUUCGGCACAUUAUUAUGCAAAUUCGGAAAUGAUUCGAAAACAUUUAAUUUUAUCGUUAAAAAAGUGCGUUUUUGUACGAAUCAUUGUUGAAUCAUGAAAAAAAUAUUUUUCUGCGAAUGUGAUAAAGUGUUUGAUAAUGUCGAUAUUAUGACAGAAAAAUAUAAUAUUUCUUGUUAAUUGGCUGUAUGAAUGUUGUUUCUGUACUGCGAAAUAGUUUUUUCUUUCUUUUCUCUGAAUAAAAAAAUUAUGAACAAAUAAGUUAAGUAUUACUAUUUACUGUCGGUGCAAAGUGGUGACUUUUGAUAAACAUUGGAAAAUCGCGAACAUCGUAGAUCAUUGAUGACGCACGUGCGUGCAUCUUAUCAAGGAAUAAUAUCUUACGAUUGGCGAUAUCCAUUUAUUACAUUAAAUAACUAUCGUGGCAUCGUGACAAAUCGACAUUUAACAAUAAUUGAAACGCCGCUGCUUACGACGUCGUUUCAGCUGAAUACUUUUAAUUCCAAGAGAUAUAUAAUACCGAGACAUAAUUAUGGCCUGAGUCUUACGAAUUAUGGAUCUUAGAUCAUAAUUGCAAUCACUUUUAUAAUAUUAUUUUCUUGCUGAUAUUUUGCUCCGAACGUUCUUUGCGCAAUUAACAUACCAUUUUCAUCCUAUGAAUAAAUUAUUUAAGAAAUCAUUUUAUUGUAACGCGCGCGUCAUAGAAUAUUAUGCGUCACAUCUUUUUGAUAAAAAAAAAAA